GACGAACGCUGGCGGCGUGCUUAACACAUGCAAGUCGAACGAAGUGGCGCACGGGUGAGUAACGCGUCAUCAACCUGCCCUUCAGAGGGGGACAACAGUUGGAAACGACUGCUAAUACCGCAUACUGAAGGAGUGUCUUGCGUCUGGUUAGGUAGUUGGUGGGGUAACGGCCCACCAAGGCGAUGAUCAGGAGCCGGGCUGAGAGGAUGAACGGCCAAAGUGGGACUGAGAAAAGGCCCAGACUCCUACGGGAGGCAGCAGUGGGGAAUCUUCCGAAAUGGACGAAAGUCUGACGGAGCAACGCCGCGUGAGUGAUGACGGCCUUCGGGUUGUAAAGCGCUGUUAAUCGGGACGCGGUACCGGAAUAGAAAGCCACGGCUAACUACGUGCCAGCAGCCGCGGUAAUUC
rnacentral:rRNA from 1 species